CCUACGGGGGGCAGCAGUGGGGAAUAUUGCACAAUGGGCGCAAGCCUGAUGCAGCCAUGCCGCGUGUGUGAAGAAGGCCUUCGGGUUGUAAAGCACUUUCAGCGGGGAGGAAGGCGUUAAGGUUAAUAACCUUGUCGAUUGACGUUACCCGCAGAAGAAGCACCGGCUAACUCCGUGCCAGCAGCCGCGGUAAUACGGAGGGUGCAAGCGUUAAUCGGAAUUACUGGGCGUAAAGCGCACGCAGGCGGUCUGUCAAGUCGGAUGUGAAAUCCCCGGGCUCAACCUGGGAACUGCAUUCGAAACUGGCAGGCUAGAGGCUUGUAGAGGGGGGUAGAAUUCCAGGUGUAGCGGUGAAAUGCGUAGAGAUCUGGAGGAAUACCGGUGGCGAAGGCGGCCCCCUGGACAAAGACUGACGCUCAGGUGCGAAAGCGUGGGGAGCAAACAGGAUUAGAUACCCGGGUAGUC
rnacentral:rRNA from 1 species